CCCAGCCACGUUCCGAAAGAAAGUUCCCACGACCCACGAAGUCACGAACACAUGCCCACCACGCCCCAUUCUCCCCCACGUUGCUCCCAAUCACGUCUCUCUCGCCAGACCUGAGAAAUUUCGCCGCCGCCGCUCUACUCCUCAUUCGCCCCUCGUGGUCGUCGUGACCGCAGUCCUGGUCGUGGGAGCAUGCCCGCCGGGAUGGCGUACGUGCUGCAGCUCGGCCGCCGGGAUGGGGUAUGGGCUGUGAGCUCGUUCGCCAGGAUACAGGGUGGGAGCGCGGUGCGGGAUUGGGGGGAAAUUCGCCGCCGCCGCUCCUCUCCUCAUUCACCUUGUGAGUUUCCGUUUCUAUUGGUUGACUUUCACGUCUCCGGCAAGGGUAGCGAGGCAAGCGAUCAGGGCGGUGAUGGCGAGGGACGUCGGUGUGGAUGCUGCGGCGGCGGCAGCCUCAUCGCUGACAUCGAUCGAUCCCUGGAACCCGCCUUCCUGCACUCCAAUGAUGCAACACGCCCAUGCCGCCUCUCCUCCCUCUAAGGCCGAUGUACUCAACGCGUAAGGUUGUGGAGCAUACAUUCUGGAUCAUACAUCCCGCAGGCAUUCUGUUAACUUGCAGGAUAUACUCACACAGGUAUAACUUGGCGACUUGGCUUAUGGUAGACGACCUUUUCAUUAGCUAUACUUAGAUCAAGUUGUACUACUGAGGUAGCAGUAAUUAAUGAUGUUGUAGUUAGUUGUAAUCAAUGAGGAAAAACAGGUCUGGGUCGUAUUGUGUUAUACCGAAAACCAUUGAAAAAUACCAAUUUCAGAAAUAACGACUUGCAUAUUAAAUGGUUUAUUGUAUACAAAUCUAUAUCCAGAUCAGUUGUAGCAGUUAUACUUCAUAUCGGAAAUAUUGAUAUUGCCAAUGAAACAUAAGAUGAUUUGUCUGGGAGACUGUAAUUAAGGAUGAUAGUCCAGGUUUCACCUUAAGACUGCGGCAAAGCUAUUGGAGUGAAUACAUUUUGAUGUAAGUGCAAUAACUUCAUUCCUCGACAUUUCUUUUGGGAGGCAGAUGGCCUUGAUGCCGUAGCAUGAGUUGGUGUUGGCCAUAUGUAGUAAGAUGUAUUGAGAUUCAGAUAUUGUAUGCCUUCCAAUACCUCUAUAUAUGGUCUGUACAUCUACAUGUAUCAAAUUUGCUUCUUUUUCUUAAAUUUAUCUCUUGACUUCUCUUUCAAUGCCAUUGCAAUAUUUCCAUUUUCACUUUACAUUAGUAGAAAUAAAUUGUGCCUCUUAGUCGUGAGAUAGUAUUAAUCGCCAUGCUCUUAUGGUGAUUAUCUGACAAGUGUUUUAUUUCAAAUGUUGUGUUGUAGUUCAGAUAUUGACAAGGAUGAUCAUAUCUUGGAUUUAAUCUUGCUUAGGUAUUUGUUACAAGUAACUUAUAUAGUUCCAUGUUCCACUUCUACUACAGUUGGCAUUGGCAACGCCAACUGGUUGGUGAUACUUCAUGUGAGGUUGAUGAGGCAGCACGAGGAGUUUGAUAUUCUAUGGGACGCUCGACUAUUGGAAAGGCAGGUUCUCUAUAAUUUUCGUGUAUUGGAGUCCUCUUCAGUUUGUGUUCUUAGUGAUGUACUUCUUUGAAGAGACUAAAUAUAUGGGUGAUUUUAUUUAUCGGCAGUGCAGCCGUCAGCGGAUUUAAUUUAUGUUCUGUUGCUCUAAUAAGGGUUCACGUCGAGAUUGAUUUGGGAGACCUGCGUGGGAUGCUCAACUCUGGCUUCAGCCUCUGAAGAUGUUCCCCCCAUCCUGAAGAUGUGAACUACGCUGCUGCUCCCGGUAUGUGUGUUGCUUCUGCUGGAUGAUGCUCUGUUGCCGUUGUUGCCUCAGCCCUCCUAACUGUCAGCUUCUUCCCUUCUGUUGCUGCUCGAUGAAGUUGGUCAUGCUGCUAGCUUUGCAUGCUAUGGAGUUUCUGUCCCUACCUACGAUAAAUUCAGUAUUGAUCUACACAUGUGUUUAUACAAAGUUCCAAGACCUGGCUGAUGAUAUAGUUUUGACUUAUAAUGAUCUGACUAUGUAUGCCUUUUUCUGGAGAUAUAUGUAUGUCAGUAUGCAUUAUUAAGUAUAUACUGGGCACAGAAGGGGGGUGUAUUAUUGUAUCUCAGUGUGUAACAUCAUCUUUUAACCGAAUAUUUUAUUCAAUCUGAAUUUAGAUCUUUUAUUUAGCAUGUA